GAUCGACAUUUCUUGGUACAUGCUGUAGGCGAGAUUUUUAUGAGACUUGAUUCUUGUUUUGGCUUCAUUUGAUCAUGUAUAUCUGUAAUUCAGCACACAGAUGAAAGCAGACAGCACCUCUCAGCACCAAGAGGGGCAAGUGCCUCAGAAAAUGAUAACGCGUUUAUCGUGCACACAUCUACAGGACACAUCUACAGGAAUGCAAUGGGCUUUCCAGCAGCCAUGCUCUGGCACGUUCUGCAGCCCAGAACAGGGACUACUUCAUGUCUUUUCUGAACCCCGUGAAAACUCUUGGAGGCAGAGCUGUUCAGCCUGUUUCUAGAUGAGGAAAAGGAAAACCAGAGAAGAUGAAGAAACUCAACAAAUAAGUAACUCCCAAAAGAAGCAAAUAUAGAAGAGUGAGCACAGCACACUACCUUUCGUGUUAGGAAGAGGGGAGAUUUUAAAAAAUGUACACACGUCUUUGCUUAAUUCACAAGCGAGAGAAAGCGGUGCAUGGAAACCUAUUCAAGAGACAUUCCUCCUCCUUUUCAGUAGCCCAGAGUUUUGAUCUACAUAGAUUUCCUCCAUAUUUAAAAACAAUACUUAAAUUGAAGCAAAAUAGGGGGAACUAAAGCAGAGCAUGGAUUUACAAACACUGUAACCAGCUGAUAACAUGUUCAUAUGGGGAAAAUGACUAUUUCAAGUGACUUAGGCUCACCAGAGGUGAGUUAGUGGUUCACAUGAAUGUUGAAGUUGUAAAGACAAGCAACAGGACUCUGAAGCACAGUGAGAAAACCUGACCAAAGGUAUCCUGCCUUAUUCUUUUACAGACAAAGAUCUUCCUUCACAACUCUUGCCUUUCUGGGCCAACCAAAGAUUUAUCUAUUAUAGCAGUACAGGGUGUCAUUUUGAUGAUCGUUUCCUAAAUAAAGAGUUUGUAAUAA